CGCUCUGAUCGUGGUGAUUUGGCCGGCCGGCUUGCAGCCACGUAAAACAAGUCGCUAAAAAGGGCCCUCGGCGCGCGAC
rnacentral:ncRNA from 2 species